UCCCUGGUGGUCCAGUGGCUAAGACUCUGCCCUUCCAAUGCAAGGGGUCUGGGUUCGAUCCCUGGUCAGGGAA
rfam:TPA: Bos taurus chromosome 29, whole genome shotgun sequence.